CCUACGGGAGGCUGCAGUGGGGAAUAUUGGGCAAUGGGCGCAAGCCUGACCCAGCAACGCCGCGUGAAGGAAGAAGGCUUUCGGGUUGUAAACUUCUUUUAAGAGGGAAGAGCAGAAGACGGUACCUCUUGAAUAAGCCACGGCUAAAGACGUGCAAGCAGCAGGGGGAACAAGUAGGUGGCAAGCGUUGUCAGGAUUUACUGGGUGUAAAGGGCGUGCAGCGGGGAAGACAAGUCAGAGGUGAAAUCCCGCGGCUCAACCGCGGAACUGCCUUUGAAACUGUUUUUCUUGAGUGCCGGAGAGGUCAUCGGAAUUCCUUGUGUAGCGGUGAAAUGCGUAGAUAUAAGGAAGAACACCAGUGGCGAAGGCGGAUGACUGGACGGCAACUGACGGUGAGGCGCGAAAGCGUGGGGAGCAAACAGGAUUAGAUACCCGUGUAGUC
rnacentral:rRNA from 1 species